UCAUGCCUACGGGGGGCAGCAGUGGGGAAUAUUGCACAAUGGGGGGAACCCUGAUGCAGCGACGCCGCGUGAGCGAAGAAGUAUUUCGGUAUGUAAAGCUCUAUCAGCAGGGAAGAAAAUGACGGUACCUGACUAAGAAGCCCCGGCUAACUACGUGCCAGCAGCCGCGGUAAUACGUAGGGGGCAAGCGUUAUCCGGAUUUACUGGGUGUAAAGGGAGCGCAGGCGGCGCGGUAAGUCUGAUGUGAAAGCCCGGGGCUCAACCCCGGGACUGCAUUGGAAACUGUGUUUCUUGAGUGCUGGAGG
rnacentral:rRNA from 1 species